rnacentral:lncRNA from 1 species
UGCGCGGUCUGCCUCCCGCGGCGGGCCGGGUCUCCAGGGAGGACCUGAGUUUUCUUCACCCAUUGUCAGGGAGGCGCCAUCGCCCUGGCUUUGGGGCUGGGGCCUCCGGGGAGGUUCCGGUAGGGGCGUUGGAGAGGCCGCUCUUUUUGCAAGGCCCGAGACGGCGGGCCUUGCGCAGGCCGCCCUAUUCCGCGCCCUCAGGGCGUCAGUAUCAGCCUGAGGCUGGAUACCCCCGCUGGGCCCAGAUGCCCCCGCUGGGCCCGGAGCAUCCUCCGGCGCUGCCCUCCCAGAGCCACGCAGAGGCUGAGGUGGCGCGGGGGCGGCCCUGGCUCCGCGAGAAGCGGCGGCAGCGAGGGCUGGAGGACCCGGGCUGCGGGGCUCCGGGGCGUCUGGCCUGGGUGGGACUGAGCCCAUCCAGGGACUGGGACUCCGGGGUUCUGGUGUAGGUGGAUCCGGGGCAGGCUCAGGACCAAGUCCCUCUCCUUCCACCAAGGAGCGCCCAGAGGCCGGCGGGAGCUCCAGGUUCACCUCCUCCUCCUCCAGGAAAUCCCACUUCCAACUGGAUGUCUGGAUGAACUACUGAAAGCUGCUGAGUGUCCUGCAGCAGGUGAGCUGUGGCCAGAGCCCAAGGAUGAAGGGGGCUCCCUCACUCUGUGACUGUGAAGAGGAACCCUGAGGUGUAGCAGGCCCAGGCCCCAGAAGUAUGGAAAAAAUGAGGUAGGGAGGGAGGGGACCUCAGGAGAAGACUGAGGUCUACAGAAUCCCAGGGUCAAGGGGAUGGUGCGGUGUCCUGGCACUAUCCUUGAUGUUCCAAGAGGGGUGAGAAUCCAUCUCCUGAGUAAAAGCUUCACAUGGGGUGAGGAGGGGAGAAUUGAACAGAGAGGAAGCAGGGAAGGCCAAGACAGCGACCAGCCUUACAG